rnacentral:lncRNA from 1 species
GGCCAAUCAGGGGCCGCUGCAGAACGACCAAUCACAGACGCUGCAGGGUGGGGGCAGCCCCUCCCCAGGGGCCCCGGGGGCCCCCCGGCUCCGCCCCCCCCAAGGUAGGACCCCCGCGGCAUCAUGGGAUGGGGGCGGCCCCUCCACCUGCAGGUUUUUGGCGUGUCCUUGGCAUGUUCUUAGCGUGUUUUGGCGUGUGCAGGCCCUGUUCAUGGGGACGGUGGCCGCCACGGGGACGGUGGCCGCCCUGGGGCUCCUCGGGGCUUGGUGGUGCUGUUCACGGGGGUGGUGGCCGCCGCGGGGACGGUGGCCGCCCUGGGCCUCCUCGGCGGCUCGGUGGCCGCCUCCGUCUUCGACUGCACCCACCUGGUGACCGACCGGGUCCGGCGCACCGUCAAGUUCCUCUGCGCCCUGGCCCGCGGCGUCCCCAUCGUCACCCCCGAGUGGCUGCUCAAGAGCGCCCACAGCGGCUGCGCGCUGGCUCCGGGCGCCUUCCUGGUGCGGGACGCGGAGCAGGAGCGCGGCCUGGGCUUCAACCUCGCCACCGCCCUGCGGCGCGCCCGCCGCCGCGGCCUCCUCGAGGUGUUCCCCCGUCCCUACGUCGUCCCCGUGGUGGCCCUGAGGCGUUGGCUGUCGCCCCAGAGCGUCUCCGUGGUGUCCCCGAGGUGUUUCCUAUCUCCGUGGUGUCCCCGAGGUGGUCCCCAUCUCUGAGACGUCCCCAAGGUGUCCCCGUGGUGGCCCCAAGGCGUUCCCCGUCCCUACGGUGUCCCCGUGGUGGCCCUGAGGCAUUGGCCAUCGCCGAUGUGUCCCCAAAGCGUUUCCACGGCAUCUCCAGGGUGUCCCCAAGGCGUCCCCAAGUGUUCUCCAUCCCUGAGGUGGCCCUGUGGUGGCCCCGUGGUGGCCCCAAGCUGUUCCUCGUCCCUGAGGUGUCCUUGAGGCAUCACUUGUCACCGAUGUGUCCCUAAAGUAUCUCCACGGCAU